rnacentral:rRNA from 1 species
GUGCCAGCCGCCGCGGUAAUGCGUAGGGUGCAAGCGUUAAUCGGAAUUACUGGGCGUAAAGCGUGCGCAGGCGGUUAUAUAAGUCAGAUGUGAAAUCCCCGGGCUCAACCUGGGAACUGCAUUUGAGACUGUAUAGCUAGAGUACGGUAGAGGGGGAUGGAAUUCCGCGUGUAGCAGUGAAAUGCGUAGAUAUGCGGAGGAACACCGAUGGCGAAGGCAAUCCCUGGACCUGUACUGACGCUCAUGCACGAAAGC